CAGUCAUGAAGUGUUAAACUCACAGCACUAUAAACACUCUCAGAGCACUGAAGCAUGUGUGACAAUGCAAAGAAGUGGGCAGGAUUUACAACAGACAAACUAAUAUACACUAGAGUUACACUAUGAUCAUUUACAUUCUGACUAAUGUUAUCUUUAGUUAGUUCAGUAGUUUUAUUUUUACUCUGACUAUUGAGAAACUGAUGAUGUGCAGAUGAACAUCUAUCCCAUGUAGGAAGGGAUGUUCUCGUGGCCUUGCACACCAUUCCCUAAAAGUUCUCUAAAUGUGACAGAAAUCCUGAACCUUCACAUUAGAGAUGUUUGUAAAACAUCCUCUUUUGGUUAUGAAAGUGCUGCAGUUCAAGUUUCCUUAUAUGACUUUAGAGGGACGUUCCACAUUGGUUAAUCAAUGGUCACAUAAGAUCGUUACAAAGAGGACAUUUGGGACAUUAACAGAACGUCCCCAUACGGUUCUCUGUUAGUCAGAUGGGGACGUUUCAUUCGGGACCAUGCUGCUCCUGAACCUUUUUUUGAAACGUCGUUUAAGAAGCAUAUUUCACUUAUAGGUGAAUUGAAAAUUUCUCAUAAAAAUAAUAAAAAAUAAAUUACAUUCAAAUAGUAAAUCCUUACUAUCUGUAAUUUCCCUAUAUUUGUGGACCACUGGAUACCUGGUGUUUCUUUAAACCAAUUAAAAAGGUCCUGGGUGGCAUUUACGCCCCAAUGGACACAGUCACUUCCACAUUUUUCCUCAGGCAGCCUAUUUAUAUCGGCGCGGCAUCGGAAGUCAUUGUUUUUAAUAUUAAUAUUAUGUAAAGUAGUUUUAUCGCACCAUAAUCCAUUGCUACAAACUCCUGUACAGUAGGUGGAGCUAUGCACCUGAUAAGUCAUGAUUGCAAUCCGCCAAAAAACUAAAAGAAGAAGAAGAAGGAAGUCAUUGUUCCUUACGCAGAGCUUUCGCUGGCUGCGUCCAAAACUGCCUACUCAAUGAGUAGGUACUUCAUUUCAAUAAGUACUUACUUAACGAGCGCUAAAAGAGUAGGUACUUAAUAGCCGAAUCUCUUUGGCUGCGUCCGAAACCGCCUACUUGUCUACUAUUUAGUAGGGGAAAAGCAGUAGGCGAGCAAUUAAGUAUGUCAGAAACCUCAGUAAUCAUAAAUGAGUAGUCGAGAAGUUCCCGGAUGGCCUACUGCUUCCGCCCAGAUUCUGAAGUGUUCCUCGAUCGAUACUUUUCUAUCCCAGGAGGCCACAGGAGAGGAUACGUCAUAAUUGAACAUGGAGGAGAAAAGCGGCGCGGAUGCUUUCAAAUGGACAGAUGAUCACGUGUGUUCAUCCGCUGGAGAGAGGCUGAUGAAGGAAUGAUGCCAUCAAAGGCUUUGAGUGACGAUACUACAGAAAUUAGAUGUGAAAUGUCUUCAGACUGGUGUGAGCACUGAGGAUGGAGAGCCACAGCACAGCCACAAAAAUAAUCCGCCAUGUUGACGUUAUCAUGUGACCUACGACGUUAUCACAAGUGCAACAACUUAAAAGAUAUGAGUGACAGGUUUAAUUAAUCUAUCUGUAAAUAUCUUGAUAUUGAUCAAACUUGCUUAUUUUGUGGUCUUGUUGAAGAAACAGCUGCCCAGUAAUUUUGUAAUUGUAGUACAACUAAUAUAUUUUGGGUUAAUUUAAAGUUCUUAUAUUUUUAUAUAAUGUGAGUUUAUUUUUUGUUGAAUAUGUUGUUAAUUUCUUUAUUUUAUAUGCAAAAAUGUUCAUCCACAAGCAAAAGUGGCAUACAUUUCAUUUGUUUUCCUUUUUUUCUUGUUGAAUUAGCUCUAGUUUCAUCCCUCAGGCUUAUAAAUAAUAAAUAUUUUUAUGCAUUAUUAUGUAUUCAAAAUAUUUAACCUUAUCAUCAUGCUUUAUGUCUGUGUAUAUAAUCUCAAACUAUGAUGUAUGUUUGUUUUUUGUCAUUAUUAUUGUUUAUUGUUACCUAGUUUGGUUUUCUUCAGUGUUAGCAAUGUCUGAAGCCAAAGAUAUCAGCAGCUGCUCGAAGAUCUCGCCUUUGAAGAAGACUGAUUUUAUACUAAAAAAAAUCUGUGCCAGUUCUGCAGCUUUAUUCUGAUGAACACCUUCAUCCAUCAUGUCCCUCACUGCUGCUCUUCUCAGUGGGGACAUCGUGGAUCCAGAGGAUGAGGAAGAUGAUGAUGAUGGACCCCUGAACCCCACAACCUUGACGCAAGAGUGGGAGAAGAUGUGUGGGACAAUCUGGCUGCUGCUGUGUCUGCUCUAAACAUUCGUGUGUCUGCUCUCCAUCAGCAUGACUAAAACAGAUUAAAACAUUUUACAAUUCA